UGGGCCCGGUGAAUCAUCCAGCGUUCUCGCUGGUGCACUUUGCCGGGCACAGCCCAGCAUCAGUUUGGCGCGGGGGAAAAAGGUUUUGGGAAUGUGGCUCCCUCGGGAGUGUUAUAGCCCAUUGCGUAAUACCCUGCGCCGGACUGAGGUACGCGCAUUGCAAGGAUGCUGGCGUAAUGGUCAUCAGCGACCCGUCUUGAAACACGGACCAAGGAGUCGUCUUCGUAUGCGAGUGUUCGGGUGUCAAACCCCUACGCGUAAUGAAAGUGAACGCAGGUGAGAGCUUCGGCGCAUCAUCGACCGAUCCUGAUGUUCUCGGAUGGAUUUGAGUAAGAGCAUACGGGGCCGGACCCGAAAGAA
rnacentral:rRNA from 1 species